AACGAACGCUGGCGGCGCGCCUAAUACAUGCAAGUCGAGCGAGAAGGUGUAGCAAUACACUUGUAAAGCGGCGAACGGGUGAGGAAUGCAUGGGUAACCUACCCUCGAGUGGGGAAUAACUAGCCGAAAGGUUAGCUAAUACCGCAUACGUUUCCGGAACUUCGGUUUCGGAAAGAAAGCAAUACCGUGGGUAUUGCGCUCCUGGAUGGGCUCAUGUCCUAUCAGCUUGUUGGUGAGGGUAACGGCUCACCAAGGGCCUUCGACGGGUAGCUGGUCUGAGAGGACGAUCAGCCACACUGGCACUGCGACACGGGCCAGACUCCUACGGGAGGCAGCAGUAAGGAAUAUUGCGCAAUGGACGAAAGUCUGACGCAGCGACGCCG
rnacentral:rRNA from 1 species